rnacentral:rRNA from 1 species
GACGAACCGUACGAACGUUAUUCGGAAUUACUGGGCGUAAAGGGUGCGUAGGUGGUUUGUUAGGUCUGCUGUGAAAUCCCCGGGCUCAACCUGGGAAUGGCAGUGGAUACUGGCAAGCUAGAGUGCGGUAGAGGGUAGUGGAAUUCCCGGUGUAGCAGUGAAAUGCGUAGAGAUCGGGAGGAACACCAGUGGCGAAGGCGGCUACCUGGACCAGCACUGACACUGAAGCACGAAAGCGUGGGGAGCAAACAGG